UCGCAAAUUACCCACUCUCAACAUGAGGAGGUAGUGACGAGAAAUAACGAGACCGAUCUCUUCUGAGGCCGGUCAUCGGAAUGGGUACAAUUUAAACCCUUUAACGAGUAUCUAUGAGAGGGCAAGUCUGGUGCCAGCAGCCGCGGUAAUUCCAGCUCUCAAAAUGCAUAGAAUUAUUGCUGCGGUUAAAAAGCUCGUAGUUGGAUCUGUGCUAGCCGACCGGUGCACACUCUGUGUGUUACUGGUUCGGUUGGCUUUUCAGCCGGUCUUUCUCCGGCGUUGGCCUUUACCGGUCGGCGUCGGUGGACCGGCAAGUUUACUUUGAACAAAUCAGAGUGCUUCAAACAGGCGUUUCGCUUGAAUGUUCGUGCAUGGAAUAAUAGAAGAGGAUUUCGGUCCGAUUUUAUUGGUUUUGCUGACCGAGAUAAUGGUUAACAGAGACAAACGGGGCCAUUCGUAUUGCUACGUGAGAGGUGAAAUUCUUGGACCGUAGCAAGACGGACUACAGCGAAAGCAUUUGGCAAGAAUGUCUUCAUUAAUCAAGAACGAAAGUCAGAGGUUCGAAGGCGAUCAGAUACCGCCCUAGUUCUGACCGUAAACGAUGCCAACUAGCGAUCCGCCGGCGGAUUUAUUUGCCCUGGUGGGGAGCUUCCCGGAAACGAAAGUCUUCCGGUUCCGGGGGAAGUAUGGUUGCAAAGCUGAACUUAAGGAAUUGACGGAAGGGCACCACCAGGAGUGGAGCCUGCGGCUUAAUUUGACUA
rnacentral:rRNA from 1 species